rnacentral:rRNA from 1 species
UGGCGGCGUGCUUAACACAUGCAAGUCGAACGGAAAGGCCCUGCUUUUGUGGGGUGCUCGAGUGGCGAACGGGUGAGUAACACGUGAGUAACCUGCCCUUGACUUUGGGAUAACUUCAGGAAACUGGGGCUAAUACCGGAUAGGAGCUCCUGCUGCAUGGUGGGGGUUGGAAAGUUUCGGCGGUUGGGGAUGGACUCGCGGCUUAUCAGCUUGUUGGUGGGGUAGUGGCUUACCAAGGCUUUGACGGGUAGCCGGCCUGAGAGGGUGACCGACCACAUUGGGACUGAGAUACGGCCCAGACUCCUACGGGAGGCAGCAGUGGGGAAUAUUGCACAAUGGGCGGAAGCCUGAUGCAGCAACGCCGCGUGCGGGAUGACGGCCUUCGGGUUGUAAACCGCUUUCGCCUGUGACGAAGCGUGAGUGACGGUAAUGGGUAAAGAAGCACCGGCUAACUACGUGCCAGCAGCCGCGGUGAUACGUAGGGUGCGAGCGUUGUCCGGAUUUAUUGGGCGUAAAGGGCUCGUAGGUGGUUGAUCGCGUCGGAAGUGUAAUCUUGGGGCUUAACCCUGAGCGUGCUUUCGAUACGGGUUGACUUGAGGAAGGUAGGGGAGAAUGGAAUUCCUGGUGGAGCGGUGGAAUGCGCAGAUAUCAGGAGGAACACCAGUGGCGAAGGCGGUUCUCUGGGCCUUUCCUGACGCUGAGGAGCGAAAGCGUGGGGAGCGAACAGGCUUAGAUACCCUGGUAGUCCACGCUGUAAACGGUGGGUACUAGGUGUGGGGUCCAUUCCACGGGUUCCGUGCCGUAGCUAACGCUUUAAGUACCCCGCCUGGGGAGUACGGCCGCAAGGCUAAAACUCAAAGGAAUUGACGGGGCCCCGCACAAGCGGCGGAGCAUGCGGAUUAAUUCGAUGCAACGCGUAGAACCUUACCUGGGUUUGACAUGGAUCGGGAGUGCUCAGAGAUGGGUGUGCCUCUUUUGGGGUCGGUUCACAGGUGGUGCAUGGCUGUCGUCAGCUCGUGUCGUGAGAUGUUGGGUUAAGUCCCGCAACGAGCGCAACCCUUGUUCACUGUUGCCAGCACGUUAUGGUGGGGACUCAGUGGAGACCGCCGGGGUCAACUCGGAGGAAGGUGGGGAUGACGUCAAGUCAUCAUGCCCCUUAUGUCCAGGGCUUCACGCAUGCUACAAUGGCUGGUACAGAGAGUGGCGAGCCUGUGAGGGUGAGCGAAUCUCGGAAAGCCGGUCUCAGUUCGGAUUGGGGUCUGCAACUCGACCUCAUGAAGUCGGAGUCGCUAGUAAUCGCAGAUCAGCAACGCUGCGGUGAAUACGUUCCCGGGGCUUGUACACACCGCCCGUCAAGUCAUGAAAGUUGGUAACACCCGAAGCCGGUGGCCUAACCGUUGUGGGGGAGCCGUCGAAGGUGGGACUGGUGAUU